rnacentral:rRNA from 1 species
GAUGAACGCUGGCGGCGUGCCUAAUACAUGCAAGUCGAGCGAACGGACGAGAAGCUUGCUUCUCUGAUGUUAGCGGCGGACGGGUGAGUAACACGUGGAUAACCUACCUAUAAGACUGGGAUAACUUCGGGAAACCGGAGCUAAUACCGGAUAAUAUUUUGAACCGCAUGGUUCAAAAGUGAAAGACGGUCUUGCUGUCACUUAUAGAUGGAUCCGCGCUGCAUUAGCUAGUUGGUAAGGUAACGGCUUACCGAGGCAACGAUGCAUAGCCGACCUGAGAGGGUGAUCGGCCACACUGGAAGUGAGACACGGUCCAGACUCCUACGGGAGGCAGCAGUAGGGAAUCUUCCGCAAUGGGCGAAAGCCUGACGGAGCAACGCCGCGUGAGUGAUGAAGGUCUUCGGAUCGUAAAACUCUGUUAUUAGGGAAGAACAUAUGUGUAAGUAACUGUGCACAUCUUGACGGUACCUAAUCAGAAAGCCACGGCUAACUACGUG